rnacentral:rRNA from 1 species
AGCAGUGGGGAAUUUUCCGCAAUGGGCGAAAGCCUGACGGAGCAAUAGCGCGUGAGGGAGGGAAGCUCCUGGGGUGUAAAACUCUUUUUUCAGGGAAGAACGCAAUGACGGUACCCGAGGAAUAAGCAUCGGCUAACUCUGUGCCAGCAGCCGCGGUAAUACGGAGGAUGCAAGCGUUAUCCGGAAUGAUUGGGCGUAAAGCGUCUGCAGGUGGCAAUGUAAGUCUGCUGUUAAAGAGCGAGGCUCAACCUCAUAAAAGCAGUGGAAACUACAUAGCUAGAGUGCGGUAGGGGCAGAGGGAAUUCCUGGUGUAGCGGUGAAAUGCGUAGAUAUCAGGAAGAACACCGGUGGCGAAAGCGCUCUGCUAGGCCGCAACUGACACUGAGG